AAUUUUAACUAUAAAUGCAGCGUUGCGUUGUUUGCAAGUCGGAUGUAUUUCGAUUUACGAAUAAUCAGUGACUAAAUUAAGAUAACACGUACUCAAUCGAUAAGUUAGAUUCCUUUACAUUUAGUGCAAAUAUUCUUAAAGCAAUUAUAAUUAAAGGAGGCAGAUGUUGUGAUGGAAAGUGUUGAGUCGUGAAAAAUAUAUGUAAGACGGAUGCAAGGGAACGUUAACGGUUAAACAUUAUCAGCAUCACGUGUGGCAGAUGUGUGGAGAGAAACUGUGCAGACCAGUGUCACUGUGUGUAUAAAGGAUUAAGAUCCCCUAGAUCUUGCCUGGAAUGUAUACAUCACCUUAACAGACAUCUGAAGAAAUAUAUACCAUAUGAACUGAUAGAAGAAGUGUUGUUAUACUUGUAUACUUUGUGAGUGUUUGAUAAUGACAAAGGGACAGAAGUACAACAGAUACAUGAAAGUUUUAUUUGAAUUUAUCUCAUAUUCGCAACAAAAUCAGCAUUUAAACCCAAUUCGACAGCUGUGACAACUUCAUCGAAAAUUUCCCCUACUAUUUUGGUCUUUCGAGUGUUUGACGCGAGUGGAGAUAUUGCCCAUACGAAAAAUAACUCAGUAUUUCCUAGGAUCAUGUCAAAUUAGUUGGACCUGUCGUCUGCCAAAUGAAUAGCAAACUGCGUGGCUUGCAAAAUAGUCGUGUCAAUACCACCUUUAUGAAAACGUUUUAUAACUUCACUAAAUUCAGUUGCCAAGUUGCCAUGACCUAAUAGCUAGGAAAUCUGUAAAUAAUCAGGUUUUGAUAGACCUUCUCGCAGAAGCAUCUUUAAUUUGGUGUUAAUCUGAAUUACGAUAAUAACAUUAAGUAAAGUAUAUACGCAAUUUCUUAUAAUGAUAGGCCUGAAGAAGAGCUUUAUUUGUAAUAUAUUGAUUAUAUUCUCACCACAUGAAUCAGAGGUUGAGGACGAACGCCAUUAGAUUUGUUGCCUUCUUUUAACCAUCGCUGGAUACAAACAUGUGCUGAUGUUAGUGUAUUGUUCGAAUCCUAUAUAAUGUAGAAAUAUCUUACUGACACUGAUUUACAUAUGCUGAAAUUAAACACGAGGGUUUUCUAUGAUAGAAAAAA
rnacentral:misc_RNA from 1 species